GAUGAAGAACGCAGCGAAAUGCGAUAAGUAGUGUGAAUUGCAGAAUUCAGUGAAUCAUCGAAUCUUUGAACGCACAUUGCGCCCCUUGGUAUUCCAUGGGGCAUGCCUGUUCGAGCGUCAUUUGUACCUUCAAGCUUUGCUUGGUGUUGGGUGUUUGUCCAUUGUCUUGCAGAGGGACUCGCCUUAAAGUAAUUGGCAGCCAGUGUUUUGGUUUUGAAGCGCAGCACAAGUCGCGAUUCAACGCUAUACGCCAGCUUCCACAAGCCUUUUUCACUUUUGACCUCGGAUCAGGUAGGGAUACCCGCUGAACUUAAGCAUAUCAAUAAGCGGAGGA
rnacentral:misc_RNA from 1 species